rnacentral:lncRNA from 1 species
CUGAAGCCAGGAGGCCCAGUUCAGGUGCUCCGCCAGGGCUCCCGUGGUCCUGCCUGCAGGGGCGAGGUAGCAGGACCCCCUUGUUUAGCCUCUGCUGCAUCCUUAGCUGCAGCAGGGAGCCUGCCAGGCAGGUGUGCGACAGGCAGGACAGCGAUGUCUUCCUGCAUGACAGAAGGGGAAACUGAGGCCCAGAGUGAUGCAGCCCGGGACCUCCCAGGACAAGGUCCAAGCUCUUACCUCAGAUACAAACUCAUCUGGAAGCAUUAAAACAAUGGAAGCAGGUGAGAGCAGAGAGAUCCCGAGCGCAGGUGAGGUGGGGUCCCUGAGGCGGGCUCAAAAGCUGCUUCCCAAGGCAGGGGGGCCCCUAUGUGCCCUCUGAGAGCACAGCCUGCAGACAGAGUCCAGACGUCUCAGGCAGGCCUUUGAGGCCUUCGUGUCAAAGCCCAGUUCUACCACAUCCUAGGGUUAUACUUUCGGCCUGGUGGGAGUCGCUGGUCCCCAGUUGACAGUGUCAUUGGGAAAGUCCAGUGGUAGACCCCGGCACAGCAGGCGCUCAGCAGUGCAGCAGUAUCAUUGCUUAGCCCCACCUCCCUUUCCAGACUCUGCACCCCUCCUCAGGCUCAGAGCAAGGGCCUGCCCCUGCCCCUCCACCGCCCCCUCCUCACUUACCCCUGCGACUCUGCCCAAGCAAGACCUCCCCCUGGAAUUCAUUCAUUUAUCAACUCAUUAUGCAGCCAGCCAGCCAUCGUUUCUUUUUUAUCCACUUUUUCUGAGGGCCUGCUGUGCGCCAGCUGCUGGAGACAUGAAGACAUCGAAGACCCCAGGCCUUGACCUCCAAGAGCCCCCAGUUUGGUGGAAGAAACAAACAAGGAGACUGCAAAACACACCCUGUGAUGGGGAGGGUUGAGGUGGCCAGUGGGAGAGGCGAGCUGGCAGGGCUCAGUGGUGAGGUGAAGGUGUGGGAGCAGGGACACAGCAUGAAGGAGUAGAUGGCCAGGUUGAGCUUUGCAGGCUCCAGGGGGAGGAUAAAGAGCUGACACCUGGAACGUGCUUGGAACAGCAGGUGCUCGGUCAGUGCAGCCACGACCAUCCCGUCCUGCAUCCCCACCAUGAACUUGGACCUUCUGGAAGGACCUUGCUUAUCCCAGCAUCCACACAUCCUUGACCAGACCUGGUCAACAUUUGCUUAGAACCGCCUGGCUGCUGGGAUGAGAAGAGACUGGAGAGAGACCACGAUGGAAGCCAGGAGGCCAACGAGGAGUUGGGGUAGUCCUCCAGGGAGACAUGAUGUGGCUUCAGCCCCAGUGGUGAUGGCGGGGUAGAGCCAGCAGGGUUCUGAACUGAGUGGAUGUGAAAUGAGGGAAAGAGGGAUGCUGCGGUCGGCAGAAUCGUGCCUCCCGCAAAGAUGCCCCAUCCUAACCCGUCACCCUUGACAGUGAGACCUCCACCACAAAGGGGACUUUGCAGGCAUGAAGGUUAAGGACCCUGAGAGGAGGAGAUGGCCCUGGACUGUCUGGCGGGCCCAGCAUCAUCACAAGGGUGCUUAUAAGUGGAGGAGGAGGCAGGGGGAGCCGAGCAGAUGUGAGGAUAGAAGCAGAGGUCGGAGGGACGUGCUGUUGGCUUGAGAUGGAGGAGGACCUAUGAGCCAAGGAGCAUGGGCGGCCUCUGGAAGCCAGAAAGGGCAAGGCCUCUUCCCGGAGCCUCCAGCAGAACCCAGCCCCGCUGCCACCUCGACUGCAGAACGGUGACACCGUGUCCGAUUCCCGACCUCCAGAACCGUGAGAUAACACGUGUGCUGUUUUAAGCCACUGCAAUUGUGGUAUUUGUCACAGCAGCCAUAGGAAACUGUACGGGGGUUAAAGAGGACCUGCUGACCUCUGAGCUCACACUGAAGCCUCCUGGAAUGCUGUGGGUUGUGAGCUGGGAUGAGAACGCAGCAUGGAGAUGAAAGACGCAUCCACCCAGGAAGGCCCACUGGCAUCGCAAUCUCAGGGAAGAUUCCCAGGCUGAAAAAAGAGAAAGUGGCUGGGGUGGCACUGAAUGCCCCACGUCAAAGAAAUGGCACCCAAGCCGUCCGUCAGUCCCUCACCUGCCACACAGACAGCACCUUGGACCCAGCAAGAUGUCACUCACCACAUUGAUGCUGUCCACAGGCAUCGCCUUGCUUUUGCAGCUCUGUGUGAGAUUUGUCAGCUUGGUUUGGGUCUGGGGCUGUAUUAGAGCUGUCAGCCUAGGAGCCUACCCUAGUUUUGUGUCUGCACUAUUUCCAAAGCACUGGAAUAAAAGGCAUUUUAACCAACACCAGGAACCCACGGGAAUCUUUUCAAAGGAUCUGCAUCAGAUCAGCCUAAGGAACACUGCUGUCGGUGAUGAAAUCUGUUGAGGAUUCGAAGCUGGCGUGUGGUGCACGCAAAUUCCUUUUUUCUUUUUUAAUCAAUGAUUAGAUGAUUCCUUAGAGCAGUUUUAGGUUCACUGCAAAACUGAACAGAAAGUGCAGAAUUCCCAUAUCCCACCUUCCCAAACACACACACAGUUUCCUCUGUGACUAACAUCUUGCAUCUUGUGGUACAUUUGUUACAAUUGAGGAACCAAUAUUGACCCAUUAUUAUAAAGUCAGUAGGUGACAUAAGCAGUCACUGUUGGUGUGGUGAUUCUGUGGCUUUGGAUAAAUGUAUAAUGACAUAUAUCCGCCAUUACAGUAUCACGCAGAAUAGCUUCACUGCCCCCAAUGUCCUCCGUCCUCCAUCCACUCACUCCUUACCUCCCCCAGCCCCUGGCAACCACUGAUCCUUUCCUGUCUCCACAGUUUUGCCUUUUCCGUAUGUCACAGGGUUGGAGUCAUACAGCUUGUAGCCUUUUCAGAUCGGC